CUCUGAGUCAUUAUUCAUUAUUUCUGUGUGUAAGAAACUGACGGGGUAACGAACUAAAAUUUAAUACAGUCCUUUCUAGAAAAUCCAGUUUCUUCACAUUUGGUCCUUCGAGCUGGCCGGCACGCCUUGGACAUCGCUGGAACCCCUGGGGGGGGUUGCCCGAAAACCGAGCUCGGUCUGAGAUCACAGCCUCAGCAUUGAAACAUCCGCCUUCAGGAUCGGCGGCCCUCGCCCUUGGGUCCGGUGGUGCCCCCGGUGAUGUCGGACCCUCAUCAAAUAGCGAGGUUCAUUGCUUGAAAAAGCUGUGAGAACAAAGGAACGCAUUGAGUCUGCCUCCAGCUCUCUCCUCCCCACAGACUCUGCAUCCCGACCAGAAGGCCCCUGUCGGUGACCUGCUUUACCCUGAAGACCAUUUAACGGACUGAUUGGUCACACCUGAGGUGGACGGGACCCUUCAAGGUUCUCCUCACCAUGCCAACCGCAGUACACAUUGCUGAACGACCCUCCUGGAUUCACGUAAGCCACUGUAAAUUGCUGAGAGCCUAUGAGACUGACAUUUUGAGACGCACCCCUGGUUGAAGUCCAACUACGAAGCUGCCGCAGUGAAGCUGAUGUAUUUCCUCUAGCGCUCCUCUCUUCCAGCUACAGUGAGCUUCGAACCAGCUAACAUGGGUCCAACUGUUCCUCGUGGUUUCAUCUUGUAAUUUUAUUCCCUCUUCCUAUGGAGAUCGCAUUCACAUCAUCAGCGAGGUCAAGGCCCUCAAAUCACAAAUUUCUUCUCAGAUGACUGACGCCUACUGGUCUGGGUCCCCACUUUAUUGGUUUACUUCUGGUGGAGUGUACUGAUAAAACUAGUCACUCCGG